rnacentral:sRNA from 1 species
GCUGGGCAUGGGGAUGCAUGCCUGUAAUCCCAGCGACUUGGAAAGCUGAAGCAGGAGGAUCUCAAGUUUGAGGCCAGCCUCUGCAACUUAGCAAGAUUCUGUCUCAA